UACGGAGGGUGCAAGCGUUAUCCGGAUUCACUGGGUUUAAAGGGUGCGUAGGCGGAUAGGUAAGUCCGUGGUGAAAUCCUGCAGCUUAACUGCAGAACUGCCGUGGAUACUAUCUAUCUUGAAUGUCGUGGAGGUUAGCGGAAUAUUACAUGUAGCGGUGAAAUGCUUAGAUAUGUAAUAGAACACCGAUUGCGAAGGCAGUUCACUAUGGCUUGUAUUGACACUGAGGCACGGAAAGCGUGGGGAUCGAAACAGG
rnacentral:rRNA from 1 species